UGUGAACAAAUCUGUAAGGAAUAAAUGAUGUGUGACAGUUUUUACCUUGUUAUUUUACCACAAUAACAUUUGAAUGCUACUUUGUAUGUAUUUGUGGAACUACCCCCCAAAAAAUGUAUUUGUCCUUUGAAUGGCGGCUCUUAAAAUUCUUGGCCGUCACAGAGCUCCAAUUAACUGGCAUGUUAUUUCCAGCCUGGUCCAACCGCGACAAGCCGCGGCAAGUUAAGAUUCUGAUCCUGGAGAGAUUGCCGUUGGACAACUACAAAUUACUGAAAUACCUUAUACAAUUUUUAUGGAAGGUGCAAGACAGGAGCUGCUUGAACAAGAUGACUAGCAGCAACCUGGCUGUGGUGUUCGGCCCGAACCUGGCAUGGCCA